AACUUGAUUUGCUCCCUUUAUUCACCCCUCCCUCAACCCCAUAGCACUCGAUUGCACUUCCAGUGCCCCGAUGCUUCACCGGCUCCAGCCUGGCGAAGGAGCCGCGAGGGUCUUCAGUGUCCUCCCUGACGGCCAGAACCAGCAGCCCGACAUGGCAUGGGGACCGGCUUCAGGACGUACCCAUCUGGGAGAAGACUUGAGGUGGUGGCAAGGACCCCUUGAUACCCGUUGUUUGGCCUUGCCCAGGCUAGAACUGCCCUGGAAUCAGCCAUGAGGAAGAGGGAAACACCAGAGAGAGACCCUUCCUCAGGAGGAACAAAACCCCAGCUGAAGUUCAUCUUGUCUUUUUCAGCCUGCACUUCAGGAUGGUAGAAGUCUCAGGGACGCAGGGUUCAACCGUGACUCCCAGAAUGACAGAGGAGAAGCAGACAGGUCUGUGGGGUUCUUCCGGCCGUGUGUCGGGCCCAGAGCGAGUGACUGCUUUCAGCUGAGGAUUUCGUUACUCCCCCACCGGCCCCCACCGAAAUAAAGCCAGCGAUAGAUAGAGACUCCACACUCGUGAACCACAGGCCUGUGGCCUGCCAGCUGGACCGCCUCCCUCCAGAAUCCAACGGCAGACAUCCGGCAAAGCACCAGAUUCACCACUCCUCGACACCCCCAGCCGUGACCACCCGAGCCACGGUCAGAGAACGUCCAUCCGGGUCAUCUCUGACCGCCUUCGGGUGCCCCCCGAGAUAGGCCCCGGAACCCUCUGGUCUCAUACACGGGGAGAGAAUGAAUAAA